AUGGCGGAGUUAAUCACAGAAGAACUCGAUCCAGACAUGCCCACAGUCCUUACACCUGCCAUGCUGCUAACACAGAAAGUCGACCCAGUGCUGCCACCCACUGGAGAGUACGACCUUAAAGACUUAUACAUCAAGCAGUGGAAGCAGGUACAGGCGUUGGCCGACGCAUUCUGGAAACGCUGGCGUCAAGAGUACUUGGUGUCACUCCAGCCAAGGAGAAAGUGGCACGUAGACAAGCCAAACCUGAGCGAAGGAGAUGUUGUGCUGCUCAAGGAUGCACAGGUCAGGCGGAAUGAAUGGCCUGUCGGAGUGGUGUUGAAUGCCAUUCCCAGCAAAGACUCUAAAGAUCGCAAAGUAGAUGUGAGGGUGGUCAGACAGGGUACUCAACGGGUGUAUUCUAGACCAGUCUCUGAAGUUGUUCUACUUGUAAAAGGGGAAUAGUGUCAUAACGCAUUAUAACAAGCGGGGAGUGUGCUGUUCUGAUGUUUAUUUGGUGAAAUGGAGACCCCUAGUGGUCAACUUUUAGCGCAAUGUUUUUGUACUAGCAGUCUUGCCGUAGUUCGACGAUGCAUGGUGAAACAACAGUCACGUAUUUUUCCCUUUUGUAUUGGUUGGCCAGAAAACACGUUUGCCUUUUUACAGUGCUUCCUAAGUAAAGUUUGGAAAGGAAACAAGCUGCUUCAUUCUUUAUGAGGGAAAACUGUUAUCUAUCUGCCAAGCUGAUGUACCAGGUCUUUGCAACCCGAGCAGUGAUGGAUGCCCGGCAUUCAUCAUUUUAAUUGUUUACAUCACUACAAAUAUUCUCUAUCCUCUUCAGGAAAUGGC
ensembl:lncRNA